rnacentral:rRNA from 1 species
UACGGAGGUCCCAAGCGUUGUUCGGAUUCAUUGGGCGUAAAGGGUGCGUAGGCGGCGAGGUAAGUCGGAUGUGAAAUCCCGGGGCUCAACCCCGGAACUGCAUUCGAUACUGCUUUGCUUGAGUACUGGAGAGGAGACUGGAAUUUACGGUGUAGCAGUGAAAUGCGUAGAUAUCGUAAGGAAGACCAGUGGCGAAGGCGAGUCUCUGGACAGUUACUGGCGCUGAGGCACGAAGGCCAGGGGAGCAAACGGG